rfam:Bacillus akibai JCM 9157 DNA, contig:contig_71.
CCGUGCUAGAUGGGGAGUUGGCGGUGCCCUGUAACCCGCAAUCCGCCUUAGCGGGGUUGAAUUCCUAGCUGCGGUACGUAUCAUGUAAGGUUUGCCUUAUGCAAGCGGUGUUGACCAUUUGGGUCUACGCAACAGAAACCUAUGAAUCUGGUCAGAUCCGGAAGGAAGCAGCCAUAAGUAGAUCAUUCUGUGUGCCGUAGGUUGCCCUAAUUGAGCUGGCUACUUAAGUAACACUUAUGUGAGCGUAUCAAUGUUAGGUGCACGG